GAUCCUGGGCUCAGGAUGAACGCUAGCUACAGGCUUAACACAUGCAAGUCGAGGGGCAGCAUGAACUUAGCUUGCUAAGUUUGAUGGCGACCGGCGCACGGGUGAGUAACACGUAUCCAACCUGCCGAUGACUCGGGGAUAGCCUUUCGAAAGAAAGAUUAAUACCCGAUGGCAUAGUUCUUCCGCAUGGUAGAACUAUUAAAGAAUUUCGGUCAUCGAUGGGGAUGCGUUCCAUUAGGUUG
rnacentral:rRNA from 1 species